AUCCAGCUGAUAAGUCUCGUACAGGACGAAACGCCCGUCCUGGAU
rnacentral:hammerhead_ribozyme from 1 species